rnacentral:rRNA from 1 species
GUCGAGCGGCGGACGGGUGAGUAAUGCCUAGGAAAUUGCCCUGAUGUGGGGGAUAACCAUUGGAAACGAUGGCUAAUACCGCAUGAUGCCUACGGGCCAAAGAGGGGGACCUUCGGGCCUCUCGCGUCAGGAUAUGCCUAGGUGGGAUUAGCUAGUUGGUGAGGUAAUGGCUCACCAAGGCGACGAUCCCUAGCUGGUCUGAGAGGAUGAUCAGCCACACUGGAACUGAGACACGGUCCAGACUCCUACGGGAGGCAGCAGUGGGGAAUAUUGCACAAUGGGCGCAAGCCUGAUGCAGCCAUGCCGCGUGUGUGAAGAAGGCCUUCGGGUUGUAAAGCACUUUCAGUCGUGAGGAAGGUGGUAGUGUUAAUAGCACUAUCAUUUGACGUUAGCGACAGAAGAAGCACCGGCUAACUCCGUGCCAGCAGCCGCGGUAAUACGGAGGGUGCGAGCGUUAAUCGGAAUUACUGGGCGUAAAGCGCAUGCAGGUGGUUUGUUAAGUCAGAUGUGAAAGCCCGGGGCUCAACCUCGGAAUAGCAUUUGAAACUGGCAGACUAGAGUACUGUAGAGGGGGGUAGAAUUUCAGGUGUAGCGGUGAAAUGCGUAGAGAUCUGAAGGAAUACCGGUGGCGAAGGCGGCCCCCUGGACAGAUACUGACACUCAGAUGCGAAAGCGUGGGGAGCAAACAGGAUUAGAUACCCUGGUAGUCCACGCCGUAAACGAUGUCUACUUGGAGGUUGUGGCCUUGAGCCGUGGCUUUCGGAGCUAACGCGUUAAGUAGACCGCCUGGGGAGUACGGUCGCAAGAUUAAAACUCAAAUGAAUUGACGGGGGCCCGCACAAGCGGUGGAGCAUGUGGUUUAAUUCGAUGCAACGCGAAGAACCUUACCUACUCUUGACAUCCAGAGAACUUUCCAGAGAUGGAUUGGUGCCUUCGGGAACUCUGAGACAGGUGCUGCAUGGCUGUCGUCAGCUCGUGUUGUGAAAUGUUGGGUUAAGUCCCGCAACGAGCGCAACCCUUAUCCUUGUUUGCCAGCGAGUAAUGUCGGGAACUCCAGGGAGACUGCCGGUGAUAAACCGGAGGAAGGUGGGGACGACGUCAAGUCAUCAUGGCCCUUACGAGUAGGGCUACACACGUGCUACAAUGGCGCAUACAGAGGGCAGCAAGCUAGCGAUAGUGAGCGAAUCCCAAAAAGUGCGUCGUAGUCCGGAUUGGAGUCUGCAACUCGACUCCAUGAAGUCGGAAUCGCUAGUAAUCGUGGAUCAGAAUGCCACGGUGAAUACGUUCCCGGGCCUUGUACACACCGCCCGUCACACCAUGGGAGUGGGCUGCAAAAGAAGU